rnacentral:rRNA from 1 species
AGCGAACGCUGGCGGCAGGCCUAACACAUGCAAGUCGAACGAACCCUUCGGGGUUAGUGGCGGACGGGUGAGUAACACGUGGGAACGUGCCUUUAGGUUCGGAAUAACUCAGGGAAACUUGUGCUAAUACCGAAUGCGCCCUUCGGGGGAAAGAUUUAUCGCCUUUAGAGCGGCCCGCGUCUGAUUAGCUAGUUGGUGAGGUAAUGGCUCACCAAGGCUACGAUCAGUAGCUGGUCUGAGAGGAUGACCAGCCACAUUGGGACUGAGACACGGCCCAAACUCCUACGGGAGGCAGCAGUGGGGAAUCUUGCGCAAUGGGCGAAAGCCUGACGCAGCCAUGCCGCGUGGAUGAUGAAGGUCUUAGGAUUGUAAAAUCCUUUCACCGGUGAAGAUAAUGACCGUAGCCGGAGAAGAAGCCCCGGCUAACUUCGUGCCAGCCGCCGCCGUAAGAC